CUGUUGCUUUGUCUUAUCUCUUCUGGCCCUGUGCCACCAUUUCUCCGGUCAGUGUUGGUCUGUCACUACUCCUGCCGCUGCCCAGGGUGGAGAAAACAUCUCCCAGCAUGACUACAGAUACUUAGCCCAGUCUAACACUGUUCCAAGUCUCUGCAGUCCCCCCAGCCGGGGCCAGGGGGAGCCAGAGCCCCCCAGAGGCUCUGCGCUUUGCUCCUCGUGGCCUCAGAACAUGGCUACCACUUCUACAACCAAACUACAACUCCUCUCGUCCGGUCUGGUUGUGGCUUCAGAUUUACAUUUCCUGCCUUGACAUUAUGAGAAAGACAACCCCACGAGAUCCUCACAGAAAGACUUCAUGAAGUAUCUACCUAGAAAAGUGGAUCAUUGCACUGUCAUCAGCUCUCUUACUGCACAUUAACUGAACAGGUUCUGAUUUAAUGAAACAGACUAUUUUUCUACACUACUAACGUUCUUAUUCUUAGUACAUCAUGGAAAUAGAAACCUAUAAAAGACACUGCCAG